CCUACGGGACGCAGCAGUGGGGAAUCUUCCGCAAUGGGCGAAAGCCUGACGGAGCAACGCCGCGUGAGGGAUGAAGGUUUUCGGAUCGUAAACCUCUGUCAGGAGGGAAGAAAGCGCAUGGCGCCAAUCAGCCAUGCGUUGACGGUACCUCCAAAGGAAGCGCCGGCUAACUCCGUGCCAGCAGCCGCGGUAAUACGGAGGGCGCGAGCGUUAAUCGGAAUUACUGGGCGUAAAGCGCGCGUAGGCUGUUGUGUAGGUUGGGGGUGAAGUCCCACGGCUCAACCGUGGAACAGCC
rnacentral:rRNA from 1 species